UCGAGAAAUCGGGAAAUCGAGAAAUCGAGAAAUUGGGAAAUCGGGAAAUCGGGAAAUCGAGAAAGCAUAAUUCGCGUUUUUGCUUUCUCGAUUUCUCGAUUUCCUGAUUUCCCUAUUUCUCGAUUUCCCUGUUUCUCGAUUUCUCAAUUUCUCGAUCUCGAUUU
rnacentral:sRNA from 1 species